rnacentral:rRNA from 1 species
CAGUAGCCGCGGUAAUACGGAGGAUCCAAGCGUUAUCCGGAAUCAUUGGGUUUAAAGGGUCCGUAGGCGGUCUUGUAAGUCAGUGGUGAAAGCCCAUCGCUCAACGGUGGAACGGCCAUUGAUACUGCAGGACUUGAAUUAUUGGGAAGUAACUAGAAUAUGUAGUGUAGCGGUGAAAUGCUUAGAGAUUACAUUGAAUACCAAUUGCGAAGGCAGGUUACUACCAAUUGAUUGACGCUGAUGGACGAAAGCGUGGGUAGCGAACAGGAUUAGAUACCCCCGUAGUCCCUGUCUCUUAUAA